GUUCUACCUUGACGAAUUGUAGUUUAAAGAAGUGUUUUCUGUUGGAGUUUUGGUAAAAGUUCUUUGGAAUAGGACAUCAUAGAGGGUGAGAAUCCCGUAUUUGACCAUUAUUUCCAGCUUUGUGAUACACUUUCAAAGAGUCGGAUUGUUUGGGAAUGCAGUCCAAAAUGGGUGGUAAAUUUCAUCUAAAGCUAAAUAUUGGCGAGAGACCGAUAGCGAACAAGUACCGUGAGGGAAAGAUGAAAAGAGCUUUGAAAAGAGAGUUAAACAGUACGUGAAAUUGUCAAAAGGGAAGCGUUUGACACCAGUGUUGUUUUCUCGAAAAUCAAUUUAAAAAGGCUGGAUUUUGUGUUGUAUUGACUUUAUCAGCUUUCUGCACUCUUUUCCUGUCUUUUUU
rnacentral:rRNA from 1 species